UAACACAAAAAAAGCUCUUGCCCCAUAGCUAGCAACAUUAGUAAAUGACGUGGUAAGAUUUGUUAGGAACACAGUCUUUCUUGAUGAAUAUGAGCAUAAAUAAUGAAGAAACGAUUGAAUACGAGCCUUCGAUUAGAAACGUAAUCGAACAACGGUCUUUGCGAUGGAUAUUUGUCGGUGGUAAAGGUGGAGUCGGUAAAACGACGUGCAGUUGUUCGUUGGCUGUGCAGUUAUCGAAAGUCAGAGAAAAUGUACUCAUCAUAUCUACUGACCCGGCGCACAAUAUCUCCGACGCGUUUGAUCAAAAGUUCAGUAAAGUUCCGACGAAAGUAAAAGGUUUUGAAAAUCUUUUCGCUAUGGAAAUAGAUCCAAACGUGGGCAUUACCGAAUUACCAGAGGAGUAUUUCGAAAGUGAAGCAGUUUCAGGAGGAGAAGCCAUGAGAUUGAGCAGAAGCAUAAUGCAAGAAAUUGUUGGAGCAUUCCCUGGUAUAGAUGAAGCAAUGAGUUACGCAGAAGUCAUGAAGUUGGUUAAAGGAAUGAACUUUUCUGUUGUUGUUUUUGAUACUGCACCCACUGGCCAUACUUUAAGAUUAUUAUCAUUCCCACAAGUAGUAGAAAAAGGAUUGGGGAAAUUAAUGCGUCUGAAGAUGAAGAUUAGUCCUUUUAUUACACAGAUCAGUUCAUUAAUGGGAAUGACAGAUUUCAAUGUAGAUACAUUCUGUAACAAAAUAGAGGAGAUGCUUGUUGUCAUUCGACAAGUUAAUGAACAAUUUAAAAACCCUGACCAGACUACAUUUGUUUGUGUGUGCAUAGCAGAAUUCUUGUCAUUGUACGAGACAGAAAGACUCGUACAAGAAUUAACAAAAUGUGGUAUAGAUACUCACAAUAUCAUAGUGAAUCAGUUAUUAUUCUUAAAAGAAAAAUAUGCAUCUUGUAAACUGUGUCUUGCUAGGCAUAAAAUACAAGACAAAUAUUUAGAGCAGAUAAUGGAUCUUUAUGAAGAUUUUCAUAUUAUCCGGGUUCCUUUAUUAGAAAAAGAAAUUCGAGGAGUUCAACAAAUCAGAGAAUUUUCGGAAAAUCUUGUAAAACCAUAUAAGCCUUAACAUCUGUACAAUUAACAUUUCGUAAAAAUAUAUAACUUUGACAUGUAAUCAAAAGAUUUUUAAACUAAAAAGAUCACUUAUACACGAUGAAGUUUGUAUAAGAGUAUACCUUACUAGCUGAUGCAACUACAGGUGGUGGCAAUGAAUUUGAAAAUAAAUAUGGUCUGCUACGUUGUCUCAACAAAUUAAUAAGUUCUUUUUUACUAGUUGUAUAACCACCUGCUGCUCCACCAAGAGCUUUACCUAACGUGGAGUUAAUGAUAUCAACAUUUCCUAAUUGAUUAAAAUAAUCCUCUGUGCCUCUAGAAUUAAAUUACUCAAUAUUAAAAUAAACUUUAUAGUUAAUCUAAUUAUUUUUCAAUAAUACAAUAUAUUUAAAAAAAUUAGAGUAAGUUAAAAUAAAUAAAAACCACAGUAAAUUUAGGUCCGAAUUUUAAAAGAAAGUUAAGAAAUGUGAAAAGAACUAAACAAUUGUUAUAGAAGAAAAAAUUGUAUCGGCUGUUAAUUAAUAGAAAUUUAAUACAAAGUGUAUCAAAAUAAA